rnacentral:rRNA from 1 species
CACGUAGGGGGCAAGCGUUGUCCGGAAUUAUUGGGCGUUAAAGAGCUCGUAGGCGGUUUGUUGCGUUCGGCUGUGAAAUCCCCGAGGCUCAACCUCGGGUCUGCAGUCGAUACGAGCAAACUAGAGUGUUGGCAGGGGAGACUGGAAUUCCCGGUGUAGAGGUGAAAUUCGUAGAUAUCGGGAGGAACACCAGUGGCGAAGGGCGGCUCGUCGUGGACAGUGACUGACGCUGAGACGCGAAAAGCGUGGGUAGCAAACAGGA